rnacentral:rRNA from 1 species
UGCGAGUCGACACAGCAAUGUGUGGCAUACGGCUCAGUAACACGUAGUCAACAUGCCCAGGGGACGUGGAUAACCUCGGGAAACUGAGGAUAAACCGCGAUAGGUCACUACUUCUGGAAUGGGUAAUGACCCAAACCUAUAUGGCCCCUGGAUUGGACUGCGGCCGAUCAGGCUGUUGGUGAGGUAAUGGCCCACCAAACCUGUAACCGGUACGGGCUCUGAGAGGAGGAGCCCGGAGAUGGGCACUGAGACAAGGGCCCAGGCCCUAUGGGGCGCAGCAGGCGCGAAACCUCUGCAAUAGGCGAAAGCUUGACAGGGUUACUCUGAGUGAUUUCCGUUAAGGAGAUCUUUUGGCACCUCUAAAAAUGGUGCAGAAUAAGGGGUGGGCAAGUCUGGUGUCAGCCGCCGCGGUAAUACCAGCACCCCGAGUGGUCGGGACGUUUAUUGGGCCUAAAGCAUCCGUAGCCGGUUCUACAAGUCUUCCGUUAAAUCCACCUGCUUAACAGAUGGGCUGCGGAAGAUACUAUGGAGCUAGGAGGCGGGAGAGGCAAGCGGUACUCGAUGGGUAGGGGUAAAAUCCGUUGAUCCAUUGAAGACCACCAGUGGCGAAGGCGGCUUGCCAGAACGCGCCCGACGGUGAGGGAUGAAAGCUGGGGGAGCAAACCGGAUUAGAUACCCGGGUAGUCCCAGCUGUAAAC